UAUUGAUUAACUAGGUCGAUUUCCAAAGUAGCAAAGAGCAUGAAGUGCAAAAGAACUGCUAGUUCAUUUGAAGCAGAAUGGCUUGAUGAAACAGUCGAAACAGCUACACCGAAAGCUCAUAAGAGCCGCAUUUCAUGAUGGAUUAGAUCUCCUACCCCUGCCAUUAACUCCAAACCACAAGCAAAACCCUAGAUUCACACUUCAAAUCUUCUCCUAGCUCACUGAGAGCCACCAUACCUGUGGCAGCCGGAACAGAGAGCAACAGUGGGUUUGAAAGAUGCACGUGGAUCUCAGCAUCGGGGUCGGUGUCCAACCAGCAGACUGAAGCUCCCAAGAAGACAGGGAAAAAGUGCUUGGAAGAGGACCAUGGAAAAGACCUUUGCUCAGCAGGCAAAUGAUUGUGUGUGGAAGAGGAAGGCAUCUGGAGAUACAGUUGAAUGCCCACAGUUCCCUGUUUCUCUGCUCCUGGAAUGAGUCAUCGCCAGAGAUCACAGUGACCGAGCCUGCCCUCCUCCACACCUGGUUUGAGUCAGUCCCACGACAGAGAGAUCCUCCUGCUGUUCCUCCACCCUUGGAUCCUGUCCUGCCCGGGAACAAGGUAGCACGUGAGCUGGUGGGGACAGCGUAAGCGGCGUGCAAGGAAGCGGAAGUGAGGUGAGCGGGCAGGAGUCGGUGCCAGGAAAAAAAGCAAAGCCCUAGCUGGCCGGCUGUCCCGUCCAUUCUGCUCUCAGAUGGACAUUAAAUUGGACUACAUCUGUGGCAACGAAAUACUCGGCAGGAGUACAGAAACAGACGGAAUCUCAGACGCCGCCAUUCAGCUGUUUACUUAUGUAACAGAUUUCCCCCCAAGCCGUCGGACUACCAACCUACUGCCCUCUGCUGUGCCUAUUGUCUUGUUUAUUAUUUAUUGUAAUGCCUGCACAGUUCUGUGUACUUUAUGCAGUCCUGGGUAGGUCUGUAGUCUGGUUAGUUUUUGUGUUGGUUUAUGUAAUUCAGUGUAGUUUUUGUAUUGUUUAUGUAGCACCAUGGUCCUGAAAAACGUUUAAUUUUUUCUGUGUACUUUAUGGUCGAAACGACAAUAAAAAGCAACUUGAC